GACGAACGCUGGCGGCGUGCUUAACACAUGCAAGUCGAACGGAAAGGCCCUGCUUUUGUGGGGUGCUCGAGUGGCGAACGGGUGAGUAACACGUGAGUAACCUGCCCUAUACUUUGGGAUAACUUCAGGAAACUGGGGCUAAUACCGGAUAGGAGCUCCUGCUGCAUGGUGGGGGUUGGAAAGUUUCCGCGGUUGGGGAUGGACUCGCGGCUUAUCAGCUUGUUGGUGGGGUAGUGGCUUACCAAGGCUUUGACGGGUAGCCGGCCUGAGAGGGUGACCGGCCACAUUGUGACUGCGAUACGGCCCAGACUCCUACGGGAGGCAGCAGUGGGGAAUAUUGCACAAUGGGCGGAAGCCUGAUGCAGCAACGCCGCGUGCGGGAUGACGGCCUUCGGGUUGUAAACCGCUUUCGCCUGUGACGAAGCGUGAGUGACGGUAAUGGGUAAAGAAGCACCGGCUAACUACGUG
rnacentral:rRNA from 1 species